GUUUGAUCCUGGCUCAGAUUGAACGCUGGCGGCACGCCUAACACAUGCAAGUCGAGCGGUAGCAGGACUAGUAGCAAUACUAGUUGCUGACGAGCGGCGGACGGGUGAGGAAUACGUAGGAAUCUACCCUCGAGCGGGGGAUAACUAAGGGAAACUUUAGCUAAUACCGCAUACACUCGAGAGAGGAAAGCUGCAGCAAUGUAGCACUCGAGGAGGAGCCUGCGUCCGAUUAGCUAGUUGGUAGGGUAAGAGCCUACCAAGGCGAUGAUCGGUAACUGGUCUGAGAGGACGACCAGUCACACUGGGACUGAGACACGGCCCAGACUCCUACGGGAGGCAGCAGUGGGGAAUAUUGGACAAUGGGGGCAACCCUGAUCCAGCGAUGCCGCGUGAGUGAAGAAGGCCUUCGGGUCGUAAAGCUCUUUAGGUUGGGAAGAAGGGUGAUAGAGGAAAUGCUAUCACUUUGACGGUACCGACAGAAUAAGCACCGGCAAACUCUGUGCCAGCAGCCGCGGUAAUACAGAGGGUGCGAGCGUUAAUCGGAAUUACUGGGCGUAAAGGGCGCGUAGGCGGUGAUAUGAGUGUGAUGUGAAAGCCCCGGGCUUAACCUGGGAAGUGCAUCGCAAACGAUAUGACUGGAGUAUAUGAGAGGGUGGCGGAAUUUCCGGUGUAGCGGUGAAAUGCGUAGAGAUCGGAAGGAACGUCAAUGGCGAAGGCAGCCACCUGGCAUAAUACUGACGCUGAGGCGCGAAAGCGUGGGGAGCGAACAGGAUUAGAUACCCUGGUAGUCCACGCUGUAGACGAUGAGGACUAAAUGUUGCUAGGGGAACCUAGCAGUAUUGAAGCUAACGCGAUAAGUCUUCCGCCUGGGAAGUACGGCCGCAAGGUUGAAACUCAAAGGAACUGACGGGGGCCCGCACAAGCGGUGGAGCAUGUGGUUUAAUUCGAUGCAACGCGAAGAACCUUACCUACCCUUGACAUCCUGCGAAUCCCGAUGAGAGUUGGGAGUGCCGAAAGGAACGCAGAGACAGUGCUGCAUGCUGUCGUCAGCUCGUGUUGUGAGAUGUUGGGUUAGUCCCGUACCGAGCGCAACCCUUGUCCUUAGUUG
rnacentral:rRNA from 1 species